rnacentral:rRNA from 1 species
GAUGAACGCUAGCGGCAGGCCUAAUACAUGCAAGUCGAACGGUGUCUUCGGACAUAGUGGCGCACGGGUGCGUAACACGUAUGCAACCUAACUUACAUUGGGGGAUAGCCUUUCGAAAGGGAGAUUAAUACCGCAUAAGACAGUAGCUGGGCAUCCAGCAGCUGUUAAAGAUUUAUCGAUGUAAGCUGGGCAUGCGUCCAAUUAGCUAGUUGGUGAGGUAACGGCUCACCAAGGCAAUGAUUGGUAGGGGAACUGAGAGGUCAAUCCCCCACACUGGCACUGAGAUACGGGCCAGACUCCUACGGGAGGCAGCAGUAGGGAAUAUUGGGCAAUGGACGCAAGCCUGACCCAGCCAUGCCGCGUGCAGGAUGAAGGCGUUAUGCGUUGUAAACUGCUUUUAUACAGGAAGAAACGACUCUUGCGAGAGGCAUUGACGGUACUGUAUGAAUAAGCACCGGCUAACUCCGUGCCAGCCGCCGCGGUAAAAC